UUCGGAUCCUUCUCCAGUUUCUAUUUCACGGACGUCAGGCGAUUUAAUGCGGCUUCAAAGUUGUUGGGCAUCUUCGGGUUCUCCUCUCCUCUCCCCGCAGUGCGGUCUCGUAGCGGCCGUCGGGUCGUUGCUGGGUGGAAUCCC